UACCUCUGCCAAUAGUCAAAGGAACAUCUUGUUGGUGUUGUUGUUCUUAUAUCAGUCAGGGACAGAACAGAUGGCAAUACUUUAUUCAUCCUAGCUUGAUGCCUGGCUUGGUUGACAAAGCUGUUUUAUACCUAGCACACAUAA